rnacentral:rRNA from 1 species
UUUAUGGAGAGUUUGAUCCUGGCUCAGAGUGAACGCUGGCGGCGUGCCUAAUACAUGCAAGUCGAACGAUGAAGCUUCUAGCUUGCUAGAAGUGGAUU